UCACCUGUAAUACUGAAAGAUAGAUAUAAGAUGCAUUUUUUUUAUGUGAUGGAAGAAGCAUAAGGUUGAACAUGCCCAAUGUUAUAAAUGUCACUCUCAGAAGCCUGGAAAUGAGACCCGUUGUAGGGCUCUAAGUCUUUAACUGAAAAAAAAAAAAGAAAUGACCCUACUUCCACUUCCACUUCACUCUUAGCAUUGUGGUAACAAAUUGAAAGGAAGAAUGUUUAUAUGCAC
rnacentral:lncRNA from 1 species